GGAUAGAAAAAUGGACAGCCCUGGUAGCGUAUUAUAUAUAAAGAAACGUCUGGCUUCAGCGAGACUACCUCCACCCCUCACAUGAGAGAAGCUGCCAUUCCCCACUAGAUUAGAUAGAGAACUACCUACUGUAUAUUUAGUUAAACAUAAAGAAGCUUUGCUUUUCAUUUGUUUCUUCUUUGUUUGUUUCCAUGCUCUUAUUCCUCCACUGUGUUUGUAUUAAAACACUUAAUCCCUGCCUUACACCCAAUAUUCUCAGGAUUUGAGUUCAGGCAAUGGAUAUGCAUAUUUGAGGUAUUUUGGGCUUAUUCAAUUAUUUUAUUCUUGGUUAGGAUGGCACUUAUUAUUUUACAACACUUACAUAGUACAGAGGAAGAUAGGAAAGGAUUCUGUCAUACAAUGUGUCAUAUUUUUUUUCUUUAAUUACAGGAGCAAAAACAUCAAAUGAAACAAAUGUAAAAGGUGAAUUCUACACUGGAAGAGUAAUUGUUGUUCACUGGCUCCCUGCAGAGUGGUACCGCUACUUUUUAUUCACAGUCUGGAUGUUAGAUAUUAUACUCAUCUUUAUAAUCAUGCACCUGAUGUUGGAUUUAGCCAAGUAUCAACAAGCUUGUGGGCAUUUGAAACAUUCCACAUCAAUAAAUCUAAGAGAUACAUGAAAGUAAAACAAAAGGUUUUUAGUGUUAAAGGACAAGUUAAAGAAUGACUAAACCAACUCAAAAAU